AGAACAAGCUUUGGAAGACAGUAAAUAGCUUUGUGCCACCAGCUGUCUCUAUUAGUGACAGUGGUACUUCUACCUACUCUGAAAAGUAGUUUGGACAUAAAUUAUAUAGACAAGGAACCUAAUUGCAUCAAAACAGUGUGGCUGUUUAUAGCCCAAAGGAAUAUUGAGUUACACUUGGCUAUAAUUUUGACCAGAGCAGAAUUUGCCUCUUAACAGUCUUCACAUAUUUUACUGUGUGUAGCGAGGAAAAUGAGUGCUAAGCAAUGUGGAAAACAGACCAGAAUCUGCCAGAUGCCCACCAUAUAAAGCAAGAUGUGUCCAGCCAGAAUGAGAAAUAACUUACGCUAUCCCAAGUGACUCAGGCAUGACUGAAACAGAGAACAUGCUUGAAAAUGAAAAUGGUGAAGUUGCACAGGGAAUGUCACGGUGCAUAAAGGUGGAAAAAAUGUGGCCAAGUGAAGAACGAGCAGAGAUAGGCAAAAACGUAGCCAGAAAAGCAGUCACAAGCUGUAUAUUUUACUAGCCUGAUUUAAGUAAAACAGAUCAGCUCAAAUGUCAGUUUGUCAAAGAGAGAAAGCCUUCCGGAGCAGGAUCCCCCCUCACAGCCUGUCUUUAUAGAGUCCCUGGGUUAAGAGGCACUUGGCUCAUAGCUCCUGGGAGUUACCACAGCACUGAAAAAUAAACAUAAAUAAUUCUGUUAAGAAACAUCUUCAGGAGUCUGCAUCUCAUUGUGAGAGCCCUGCAUGACACGCUUGCCCCCCUGGGAGCAGUAUUUCCUUUAAAUCACAGGAUCAGCAUUUGCCCUUUUGGCCACAAUAUUUAUUUAAAAUUUCCUCCAGCCUCCAAGGCAAAUCCACUGGCAGCCCCAUGCCCCAACACAACCCUGGCAGCAUGGUCAAACUCCGCCCCACAUCAUCUUGCUGCUGUGUCCCCAGCCCCAGGAGGUGACAGGCAGGAGCCUGGCUGUAUACUGGCACAGCUGCACCUUUCUGGUGCCCUUCUGCAGGUCUCAGAAGGAAAAGAGUACUGGACUUCUUCAUGAGGGAAAGGAGACAGCUGCCAGUCCCUGGACCAGCCCAAAUCCACAAAACACUCCCCUGCUGAAACUAAGCCAUCGUUCCUCCUCCCACUGCAGAAGGAGACAUUUUCUGAUGCUCUUGAGGGCAUCUCUAGUGCUGCUCUUUUUGUCUGUGUUCUCCCUUUUCUUCAAUUCUUUUGAUUAUGGAGUAAAAGCCAAACUUGAGGGGAACACCUACAGCAAUGCACUACACAUAAAGCCCAGGCAGGCAGAAGCUGCUGAGUGAGUCAGGCCAUCCUAGAUGCAGAUGGCGCACCUCAGAGAGCCUCCCAGAGGAGUCUGUGAGAGACCUCAAAGAAGGCUGACAUGCUCCCUUCCCCAUCUGAUUUCUGCCUUAACAACUGGCACCCCCUCAAGCACAAGGCACUGUCUCUUCCAAAACCCUCCUUACCAACACAAUCCUUAUGAGCCUUCUCACCCACGAUCAGCACUUCCAUUUUCACACAAGCCUUUAAGAGGAAAAGAUGGCACCUUCAGUUGGGACUAUUUCAAAAGGGCCUAGCAGCAGCUGCACCUGGCUACCCAUUGGAAACAAAGACUCAUCUAGUAAAAACU
ensembl:lncRNA